GCCUGGGUGGCUCAGUCGGUUGAGCGUCCGACUUCGGCUCAGGUCAUGAUCUCGCGGUCCGUGGGUUCGAGCCCCGCAUCAGGCU
rnacentral:tRNA from 1 species